GCUCUCAGUCCCCACCCUCGUGGGGGGUGCCACACCCUCCUGCGAUGGGGUUCCUAAGAGCCAGAGGGGGAAGAGGGACUGGCUCUCAGUCCCCGCCUCGUGGGGGGUCCCUCCCCCCUCUGCGAUGGGGGUCCUAAGAGCCAGUGGGGGAACAGAGGCUGGCUCUCAGUCCCUGCCUCGCGGGGGGGUGCCUCCCCCACCCUGCGAUGGGGGUACUAACAGCCAGGGGCGGAAGAGGGGAUAGCUCUCAGUCCCCACUCUCGUAGGGGGUGCCUCCCCACCUGCGAUGGGGGUACUAACAGCCAGGGGCGGAAGAGGGGAUAGCUCUCAGUCCCCACUGUCGUGGGGGGUGCCUCCCCCUCCUGUGAUGGGGUUCCUCAGAGCCGGGGGGGAAGAGGGACUGGCUCUCAGUAAUCCCACGUAAGGUACCUGCCGUCGGAAGAUUUGAACUUUCUACUUGGACACCUACCACCCGCAGUCCUCCAGGUGGGUCCUAAGGAUCUUAGGAUCAACGAUGUGGGUCCUAAGCUGGGGGGGGAAGAGGGUCUGGCUCUCAGUCCCCGCCUCGCGGGGGGUGCGUCCCCCCUCUGCGAUGGGGGUCCUAAGAGCCAGUGGGGGAACCAGGGGUUGGCUCUCAGUCCCUGCCUCGCGGAGGGUGCCUCCCCCCCCCUACGAUGGGGGUACCAACAGCCAGGUGCGGAAGAGAGGAUAGCUCUCAGUCCCCACCCUCGCGGGGUUGCCUCCCCCUCCUGCGAUGGGGGUCCUCAGAGCCAGGGGGGGAAGAGGGACUGGCUCUCAGUCCCUGCCUCGCGGGGGGUGCCUCCGCCCCCAGCGAUGGGGAUCCUAAGAGCAAAGGGGGGAAGAGGGGCUCGCUCUCAGUCCCCGCAUCACGAGGGGUGCCUCCCCCCCUGCGAUGGGGGUGCAAAGAGCCAGGGGAGGAAAGGGGGAGGUUCGCAGUCCCCGCCUCGCGGGGAUUGCCUCCCCCCCUGCGAUGGUGGUCCCAAGAGCCAGGGGGGGGAAGAGGGGUUGGCUCUGAGUCCCCGCCUCAUGGGGGAUGCCUCCCUCCACCCGCAAUGGGAGUCCCAAGAGUCAGGGGGGAAGAGGGGAUGGAUCUCAGCCAUCACAAAAUGGGGGGCCUUUAUGUUCAGGUUUUGCCCAAGAAUCAGCUUAUUUGCUUCUUGUACUAGCAGGGCAGUUGCUGCCAAGGCCCUCAAAUAGGGGGGCCAUUCUUUAGCAACCCUGUCUAGUUGUUUAGAGACGUAGGCUACCGGCCUCAGCCAGGGCCCCACAGUUUGGGUUAAAAGUCCAGCUGCCAUCUUUUCUCUCUCUGACGCAUACAAUGGAAAAGGCUUUGUCAGAUCGGGUAGCCCCAGGGCUGGGGCUGCCAGAAGAUUUUCUUAUAACUAAUGAAAGACUUGCUGUUGUCGGGAUCCCCAUUUCAAAGGUUCCGGGUCCCCGCCCCCUUUGUGACCUCAUACAAAGGCUUGGCUAAUACUGCAACGUUUGGGAUCCACAGCCUACAAAACCCCACAGCUCCUAAGAAUUCUCUCACCUGCCUUCUGCCCUUAAGCUCCGGUAGAUUGCAAAUAACCUGCUUUCUUUCUGUUCCUGAGCUGCGUUCGGACCCCUGUCGUAUUGUAAAUCCCACGCAAGGUACCUGCCGUCGGAAGAUUUGAGCUUUCUUCUUGAACACCUCAUACCCACAGUCCUCCAGGGGCCACUGGGAUCAAGAGAGGGCAACAUUGCAACUCUCCAUGCUCCUGCAAUAUCCAUAGCUAUUCUGUAGACAGAAGGACAACAGGUACAAAGUCCUAAGGAUUAUAAAGGUAUGCUGCUUGCCAUCAUCUUAGUGACCAAGGCAGCGAAGCUGUUUCUGUACCUUGGAACAGUCUUCCCUGACAAGCCAGAGAACAGCGAUAAAGCCACCAGCCUUGGGAUCAGGACUGAAAAGGCAAGAGUGAUGGAGAUUUCUCCUGCGCUAAGCCAAGAGAAGGUUUCAGCACCUCAGACAGCUCCCACCGAAGUAGCGGCGCUCCCAGCUGCUUGCAGAUGUGGAAAAGGAAAGCCUCGGUUUGUCUUGAGGUUGUCAGCAGUUGCAAGACACGUAAUAAAAUGCAAUGUGUUCCUAA
rnacentral:lncRNA from 1 species